GAUGAACGCUGGCGGCGUGCUUAACACAUGCAAGUCGAGCGAAGCACUUAGGAAAGAUUCUUCGGAUGAUUUCCUAUUUGACUGAGCGGCGGACGGGUGAGUAACGCGUGGGUAACCUGCCUCAUACAGGGGGAUAACAGUUAGAAAUGACAGCUAAUACCGCAUAAGACCACAGCACCGCAUGGUGCAGGGGUAAAAACUCCGGUGGUAUGAGAUGGACCCGCGUCUGAUUAGUUAGUUGGUGGGGUAACGGCCUACCAAGGCGACGAUCAGUAGCCGACCUGAGAGGGUGACCGGCCACAUUGGGACUGAGACACGGCCCAAACUCCUACGGGAGGCAGCAGUGGGGAAUAUUGCACAAUGGGGGAAACCCUGAUGCAGCGACGCCGCGUGAGCGAAGAAGUAUUCCGGUAUGUAAAGCUCUAUCAGCAGGGAAGAAAAUGACGGUACCUGACUAAGAAGCCCCGGCUAACUACGUGCCAGCCGCCGCAGUAA
rnacentral:rRNA from 1 species